rnacentral:tRNA from 1 species
GCGUUAGCAUCCGGCACAAGAGCCACUGACUCUUAAUCAGCGGGUCCGGGGUUCGAGUCCCUGGCGGCGCA